UACGUAGGGUGCGAGCGUUAAUCGGAAUUACUGGGCGUAAAGAGCUCGUAGGCGGUUUGUCGCGUCUGCUGUGAAAACUCGGGGCUUAACUCCGGGCCUGCAGUGGGUACGGGCAGACUAGAGUGCGGUAGGGGAGACUGGAAUUCCUGGUGUAGCGGUGAAAUGCGCAGAUAUCAGGAAGAACACCCGUGGCGAAGGCGGCUCUCUGGUACGUGACUGACGCUGAGACGCGAAAGCGUGGGGAGCAAACAGG
rnacentral:rRNA from 1 species